UGGGCCCUGGCUCAUCCCUUCAGUUGCUGAGGGAGUACCCCCGAGGCCCCCACAAGCCGGACAGGCUCUGCCCUCGCGGAACUUGGGAGUCUGAGCGGAGGAGCCUAGGCGUGCACACCAAAAGCGAAAGCACAAGUGCACGCACCGUUCUUCUUGCGAUAGGGUGAGAUACAAUGCCUACGUGAUGACCUGAAGUGAGGCGAGUGACACAGGCAUUGUGACAUCACAUUAGGCUACCAUUAACCUUCUGAUAAUACAUCAGUGGAGGAUCACCUGCUUCCAGACCAAGGUUGACCAUUUCCAGAUGUUGUGGCCACCUUGGCUCUCCAGAAUCCCAUCACUUCUCACCACUUCCAUGCGCGAUGAUGGUCUCUCCUUGAGUACUGCAAUGGCCUCACGAGUCUUCCUGCUUGUGUGUUUGCCCACAUCCACCACUCAUAAUCAAUCUAUUCUCAACACGAUAAUCAAAGCAAUCCCUUUGAAGCAGUGGUUCUCAAAGUGAGGCUCUGGACCAGCUGCAGCAGCUACACCUGGGAAAGUUGGUGGAAAUUGACCGGCAGUGUUCCAGAUAACAGGUACUCCACUGACCAGAGACUGGGGCUGAGGAUGACAAUUCUUCACAGCAGAACUCUGCCAACCGACGGACACGUGGCAUGAGUAAGACAUAAAUCCUUGCUGUUGUGAGUUGCUGAGAUUGUGAGGUUGUUACCGCAGCGUACCUAGUCUAGCUGGGCCCAUAUAGUCCUUCAGUCCCUUACAUCAUCCCGCAUGAUAUCCAUCACGGAAAUUCCUACCAACGGGCAAUUCCUACUUGCGAGUUUUGUUUCAGGGUCUAUGCACCCCUCUCCAAACCCCAUGAGAGCAGGAGCUCUCUCUAGCUCAUUACUAUACCCCCAGCUUCCAGAAGAGUGCCUGGUGCAUACUCAGUAGGCAAGUAGCUGCUGAUUAAAUCUCCGAUGCCUUGCACAUACAUUUGUUGCUUGAAUGCUACUUUGCCAAGGCGACUAGAAUAAAUGAAUCUUGUGCUCAUACAUCAGAAAGACCAAACCUUAUAGCUUCACUCCAUUUGUGGGUUAGAAUUAUUGCUUGGGUCACAUAUACCCUUCCAGCUAAUUCACAGGAAACCAAGUUGCUCCCAAAGCCACUGGGAUUCCUUGGUCAGAAAAAUCCUUGCCAGAAAUCAUACGCAACAGAUAAAAAGGAAUGAAAUCUUAGAAUGAUAAAUCUAAGAGUGAAUUUGCCCCAAAUUAGGAGACAGAGUGGGACAAAAUUCAUUGAUAUUUUUACCUCUAGGUAGCACAGUUUUUCAUUCUUUUUAAAGCUUCCCAUGCCAGGGUACCUGGGUG